rnacentral:rRNA from 1 species
UGGUGCCAGCAGCCGCGGUAAUUCCAGCUCCAAUAGCGUAUAUUAAAGUUGUUGCAGUUAAAAAGCUCGUAGUUGAAUUUCGGGAUCAGCAGGUUGGUCGUGCCUCUGGUAUGCACUGGUUUCGCUGAUUCCUCCUUUCUGAAGAACUGUAAUGUCAUUAAUUUGGUGUUGCAGGGAAACAGGACUUGUUACUUUGAAAAAAUUAGAGUGUUUAAAGCAAGCUAACGCUUGAAUACAUUAGCAUGGAAUAAUGAAAUAGGACGUUUGAUCCUAUUUUGUUGGUUUCUAGGAUUGACGUAAUGAUUAAUAGGGAUAGUUGGGGGCAUUAGUAUUCAAUUGCCAGAGGUGAAAUUCUUGGAUUUAUUGAAGACUAACUACUGCGAAAGCAUUUGCCAAGGAUGUUUUCAUUAAUCAAGAACGAAAGUUAGGGGAUCGAAGACGAUCAGAUACCGUCGUAGUCUUAACCAUAAACUAUGCCGACUAGGGAUCGGAUGAUGUUAAUUUUUUAAUGACUCAUUCGGC